UACGUAGGUGGCAAGCGUUGUCCGGAUUGACUGGGCGUAAAGGGCGCGUAGGCGGUUCGUACAGUCAGACGUGAAAUUCCUGGGCUCAACCUGGGGGCUGCGUUUGAUACGUGCGGACUUGAGUGCGGAAGAGGGUCGUGGAAUUCCCAGUGUAGAGGUGAAAUUCGUAGAUAUUGGGAAGAACACCGGUGGCGAAGGCGGCGACCUGGUCCGAUACUGACGCUGAGGCGCGAAAGCGUGGGGAGCAAACAGG
rnacentral:rRNA from 1 species